GAUGAACGCUGGCGGCGUGCCUAACACAUGCAAGUCGAACGUGAACUCUAUACUUGUAUAGGGUGAAAGUGGCGAACGGGUGAGUAACACGUUGGUGACCUGCCCCGAGGAGAGGGAUAACUCCUUGAAAGAGGAGCUAAUACCUCAGAUGACUGGACUGUUAGAGGGUCCAGCCUAAAGCUCCGGUGUCUCGGGAGGGGCCUGCGGGCUAUCAGCUAGUUGGUGGGGUAAGAGCCUACCAAGGCGAAGACGGCUAGGGGGCGUGAGAGCGUGACCCCCACAA
rnacentral:rRNA from 1 species